rnacentral:lncRNA from 1 species
GUGGGGUCUGGGGGGGUAAGAUGUACGCAGUCCAUACCUCUACCUCUGAUGAAGUAGAAAGGCUGUUUCCAAUAGACCCCCGGCUCAAGGCACGAGAUACCACACAAAUACAUAGUGCAGCACAAAAGCAGAUUACAUAACAUAAAUACGGCACCCAUAAGUAAUAUAAAGCAGAGGAAAGCAGGGGAAAGCACACAAAUUCGUAAUACAACAUGGAACACGGAACACGGAAUCAUGACAAGAAUAAAACCUCAAUGAUGAAAAAGUGUUUCGGGCAAGUAUAUGUACCACGCGAGCUCCCCAUGGAUCACUGCUCCUGAAAAAUCUCAAUGGUGAAAGAGCAUGUGUAUCCCAGGUUAUUAUUGGCCAUUGCACUUCAUAACAUCUUACUUACAUGAUUUAAUAUGAUUUUUCUAAUUGAGCAUACAAGAAUACAUUUCUUUUCGGCUGCUUUCCUUGAAUUAUGUAUUUAUAUGCAUAGGAUGUCAUUAGCUAUAAGUUUAAUUCUUAAUAUAUUAUAAUUUUCGUCCUCGAUGUCGUUGGCGUAUGAUGCCCACUAAGUAGAAAUAUUUCUAUAUUGGCCAAACCCAUCGAUAGGCACUCAAACUUUGUUGCGAAAAUACACUUAGACCCCUAAACUAAGACAUGUUUCUAUCAGACCACUAAACCCCCGAAUUUUGUUCCAAUUGGACUUUUUUGCCUAUAUGGCACUAUGCGUGCAGUGCCAUCGUGGGAGACACGUGAGGAGCAAUUUUUUUUACUAAUUUACGAAUAAAUAGUUGCCAAGUAGCAUUAAGGGCCCCAAAAAUUUUUUAAUAACAAAUUUUCUUUUUUUUUAAAACACUAAAGACCCCAAAAAGCAUUAGAGGGCCCCAAUUUUAUUUUAUUUUUAAUAAAACUGAAUUUAAAAAAAAUCUAUUUUUUAUUUUCAUCUUUUAAAAAAAUUAAUGAUUUCUUUUUAAUAAUUAGUUUUUUAAAAAAUAAUUUUAUAAUUAUUUUUUCAUAAUUUGGAUCUUCAAUGCCAUUUUUUAUUUUCAUUUUAAAAAGUUUUAUAAUAGUUUUAAUAAUUAAUUNNNNNNNNNNNNNNNNNNNNNNNNNNNNNNNNNNNNNNNNNNNNNNNNNNNNNNNNNNNNNNNNNNNNNNNNNNNNNNNNNNNNNNNNNNNNNNNNNUAGGUGGGGGAGUUUUAUUUUCAUCUUUUAAUAAAUUUUAUAAUUUCUGUUUAAUAAUUAGUUUUUUAUUUUUAUUUUUAAAUACUUUGAUAAUUAUUUUUAAAAAUUUUAAAAUUUCUUUAAAAUAAUAAUUUUUUUACUUUUAUUUUUUAAAUAAUUUUAUAAUUAUUUUUUCAUAAUUUGGAUCCUCAAUGCCAUUUUUUAUUUUUAUUUUGUAAAAAGUUUUAUAAUUUUUUUAAUAAUUAAUUUUUUAUUUUUAAAAUAAUUUUUUAAUAAUUAUUUCAUGUUUUAAAAAAUUUUAUAAUUUUUUUUAAAUAAUCAGUUUUUUAUUUUUAUUUUUUAAAUAAUUUUAUAAUUUUUUUCAUAAUUUGGUUCCUCACUGCCAUUUUUAUUUUCAUUUUAAAAAGAUAUAUAUUUUUUUAAUAAUUAAUUUUUAUUUUUUAUUUCCUUUUUUAAAAAAUUUAUAAUUUUUUAAAUAAUCAAUUUUUUAUUUUUAUGUUUUAAAUAAUUUUAUAAAUUUUUUUUCAUAAUUUAUAUCUUGAAUGCCAUUUUAAAAAAAAAAAAAUUAUAAUUUGUUUUUAAAAAUUAAUUUUUUAAUAAUUUAUUUCAUUUUUAAAAAAAUUAUAAUUUUUUUAAAAUAAUACAGUUUUUAUUUUUAUUUUUUCAAUAAAUUUAGAAUUAUUUUUUAUUAAUUUCCUCAAUGCCAUUUUUAUAUACUUUUUAAAAAAAAUUAUAAUUAAUUUUUAAUAAUUAUUGGACCCACAAUGCCACGUGUCAGCUUCCAAUUAGCUCGUUUUGCUACGUUAUCGUGUGUGUGCUACACACACUUUGACCUUUUUGCUGAUAGGGAAAAAAAUAUCCAAUUGGAACCAAAUUUGGGGGGUUUAGGGGUUUAAUAGGUACAUGCCUUAAUUUAGGGGCCUAAGUGAAUUUUAGGGACAAAUUUGAUGGGCUAUCGAUGGGUUUAGCCUUCUGUAUUCAUACUACUAAGGUUGCACUCUUUUGUGCAGAUUGUAUUUUGGGUACCAGUGGUCCUUGUUGUGUUCUAGAGUUCGAGGCUUGUUAUCUGGAUAUCUCCUGGUAAGUUGUCUGGUUGAUUUACAACCUCACAUUCCUUAUCCUUUAUUUUUGUCUUUUCAUUAUUUCAGGUAGUGUCCUAUGUUUAGACAAUAUCAUUUAUUCUUAAAUGUUUGAUAGAGUACUAAACCUACUUAUUUACUUAUUUUUGCUUAGCAGUUGUCUAUCAAUGAAAUAGAUUGCCAAACGUAUUUCAACAAAGAUAAAAUAGUAAAUAAGAUUAGAUAAAAAGUUUCAUGUGGAAAACACAUGGCUCAAAAAGGAGUAAAAAAGCAAGACUUGUACCUCUACAAGAUUUUACCCUAAACUUUACUAAAGAACUUUGAGUCUCAACAAACAACAAAUUACAAGACCAUCUAAUCUAGGAAUUAUAAACUAUAAUCCCUAAUUCUUCAAAACACACAAACCUCCCAAGUUUAGUGUUCCAAAGUCUUCAAAUUUCCAAACUUGAAGAUAAUAAUCCUACUUCAAUUUACACUUCACUGAAACUAGAAUUACAUUAAUAUUACAACUCAAGAACCAACCUAAUACAUAUAAACUGAGACACCUUAUUUUCUAAGUACAAAAACCAGGUUCAACUAUGUGUUUCUUCAAGCUGUGAACUGCUUAGUCAAAUUUCCAAACGCCUUUUGCUUUGUAAGUGUGUGAGUGACUGUGCAAGUCACUCCCUCUAUUUAAACAUGACUCUCUAAAGAGUCCUCCAUCAGAUGUGACUUCUAUCUCAAGUGAAACCCUCUAUUCUUCAGUGUUUGUUAUGAAGUAGAAGUCCUUCUUGAAGUUGAUCACCUUGUUGAGGUAAAACUCCUUUUCAACUCAACCUCUCUUUUCUUCAAGUUUUGGAAUCAAACUCAACUUUUUCCUUAACACAAGUGAUGCUCAUCUUAUCAGAAGUAUGCAUUCUAAUCCAUACCUAAUUUCAAGCAACCUUGUUUUCAUGUACCAGUGAACUUGAUCUGUAUAUAGUGAACUAUGUGGGUUGACCAGUUUGAGUAACAUGUUUCAUUCAUUUUGCAAUUAUCAAAACUUCAUUGAUCUAACUAAUUCCCCUUUUUGAUGAUGACAAAACACUGCUUUGUGCAUCCACCACAGAUUCCUAAAACACUUAAGCAAGAAACACUACUAGAAUGAAACAUAUUAAAUAUUGAGUUAUAAUCAUUGUACAACCACUACUUUCUCUUUUUGACAUUAUCAUAAAGCUGGUCCAUGAAUGAAAAUAGGAAAAACAUUAUUAACCCAAUCAAAGCCACUAUGGCAGCCAACAAAUAACCAGAAUGAACAAGAAGUAACAUAACCAAGUAAAGAUGCAAAUCAAGAGGGACAAGUAAUCACAAUAAAAACCAGUCCAUUCAUUUAUCAAAAUAUGACUUACAACUGAUCAUGAGAAACAUAAAUAGAUGGGACCUAGGUGGAAUAAAAAAAAGGUAGGACAAAAGAGUAUUGGAAUGUUGACACCUAAUUUUUGCCUUCCACGACUAAGUUUAAUUUUGAGUGUCUUCGAUUUUAAAUAAAAUUACAACAUUUAUUUUAUUCACAUAAAAUAACGUUGCAAGGUUUUAAUUUAUUUAUUUUGAGUAACGAUUAUAUACUCUUGUAUUUACAAGAUUGUAUAAUUUUAUUUUUUAAAUAAUCAUUUUACGAAAAUUUAAAUUUUAAUCAAAGGAUAUCUUGAAAGUUGAUUGAAAUGGUCAAAGUCUUGAUUUAAUAUAUUUUUUUGUCAAAGAAAUAUGUGUUUGAUUUUAUCAAACAAAGAAACUCAAUUUAAAUUGGGCGUUAAUUCAUGUCCAAUUACAAUUUCAUUUAGCCAAUUUAUUAAAUUUACCCAUUAUUGAAAUUAAAUUGACCACAAUUGCAAUACAAUUGGCCAGUUGAUUUUUAAAAUUGACCAAAAAUUAAAUGAAUUGCUAAAUCUCAAUGGAAUUAUUUAAAAAGAAUAUAUACUCCGAUGCCCAUUUCCACAAGCAGCCCAAAACCCUAAAUCUAUUUCAUAAAUUAGUUAUCCGCCUAUACCCGCACCCCCCUACAAAUGGUAUCAGAGCCUAGUUAUUUAAAAAGUACAUCAGUGAGAUAUAUGUUAGAUAUGUUAGAAUUUAUCUAUGUUUAUUGAAUUAAUUAUGAGAAGAUCAUUUAAAAAUAGAGAAGCUUUUAGAAAAAUUAAAGAAUCUUUAAUUAGUAAUUAUUCAGAAUAUAUAAGUCUAAAUAAAACAAAAGAAAACCCACAAAGAUUAGCCUACCUAAUUACCUUAAUAUCUAGUAUUGAAGCAAAACUAAUAAUCCAUUUAAAAUCUAGAAGAAUGAGACACAUACCACCUAAUUAUGAUAAAAUCAGAUUUAGAUAUCCACCAAAAUAUUAUAAAUAUGGUUUAAAUGAAUAAAGUACAAAAAUACAAAGAACUAAAAUAAAUUAUUUCUGAAAAACGUAAAGAAUUAAAAAUAAGAAUAGAAAGACAACAUUAUAAUAUAUUUGCCGGAGUUAGUGAAAAUUCAAUAAAUACACAAAAAGAUGAAAUACCAAAAUUAGAAUCACAAAUAGAUUGUUUAGAAUAUAUAUAUCAACAUGAACUAUUCACAAUAAAAUGAACAAAGAAGAAUUUAUAAUAGAUGAAAAAAUAUAUGAAAAUCACGAAGGAUUAAAAAUAAAAAUAGUAUUUUCUAAUCUAGGAAGAAGAUAUAAGAAAAUAGGUGAACAUUUAUAUCUAAUGUUAGAAAAAGAAGAAUUAAAAUUAGAAGAUAAAUUAACAGCAAUGGUAAGAAUAGAAAAAGAAAAUGAAGAGAUAGAUAGGAAAAAAGAAAUAGAAAAAAUAAAACAACAAACUACGGAAGAAAUACGAAAAAUAGAAGAAACCAAAAAUAGUAGAAUUGCUGAAUUAGAAAAAGAAUUACAAAUGUUAAAAGAACUGUAUGAACAAAGACAAAAAGAAAAAGAAGAAAAAGAUAGAGAACAAAAAUUACUAAAUGAGAUAAAUCAAUUUAAGGAAAAAUUAGAAAUAAAAAACGAAGAAUUAGAAAUAAAUAAUAUAGAUAUUGAAGAGACAGAUAAUUAUGAGUCCGAAGAUAGUGAAACAUAUACAGAAAUAUUAACAAACACAAAAAAUUUAGAAAUCAAUGAAAAACAAGAACUAAUUAACGAGGAAAACUUAGAAAGUACCAACACAGAAAUCAAUACUCUUGAUAAAAAAGUAGAUGAAAAUAUAAUACCUAAAACAGCAGAAAUAAGAAAACCUGCAUAUUAUAAGAAUAAGUUUAAAAAGUAUAAUGAAUAUGACAAAUGGACACCAAAACAAAUAGUUAAUAAAAAUUAUAACUUUUUAGACCUAGACUGUGUAAUAGAUACAGAAAAAACAAUACAAUUAUGGAUAGGAUAUAUGACAAAACAAUUAUUAGAUAAUAGUAUAAAUAUAACAGAUGCACCGGAAUAUAUAGAAAAAACACUAAUAGGAUCAGUAAAACUAUGGUUUGCAAAUCUAACCGAAAAUAGCAAAAAAGUAUUAAGAACUAAUAAACCUAUAGAAGGAACAUCAUCAACAACAACUAAACUAACACCUAUAGAAUUAUUAAAAAAAUUGAAACAACUAUAAAAGAUGAAUUUGGUAGUAUGGCAGCAAUAGAAGAAGAACAAGAUGAAGAAAAAGAUACAAAUAAGAAUUUAAUGUAAAAUUAGCAAUAUGCAAUAUGUGUUAUAUAGAUGAAUACACUUGUGCAUUUAAAGAAUAUUAUUAUAAAGGAGCUUAUAAUAUAGAAGAAAGUAAAGAAAUAAGAAAAUUAUAUUUUAAUAAAUUACCCGAGCCAUUUAGUUCGAAAAUAAUAAAAAGUUGGGAAGAAGCAAAAAUAGUAGAUACGUUAGGAGCAAGAAUAAAAUAUUUACAACAAUGGUAUAGAAACUUAUGUGAAAAAUAUAGAGAAGAAUUAAAAAUGGAAAAAACAUUAAUAAGAAAAUUUAGCAUGUUGUAAAAAUAAAAUAGCACCCCAAUUUGGAUGUGAAGGAAGAUAUUAUAAGAAAAGAAAAAGACAUAAGAAAUAUAAGAAAUAUAAAAAAUCAAAAUAUAAAUACAAGAAACCAAGAAAAAGAUAUUAUGUAAAAAAUUAUAA